ACCAAAAAUCUGAGGACUACAAAUCUAGGCUGCAAGAAGGGUUGUUCAUUUUGAAUUUGUAAAGAAACGUUCGAUGCUAUGUUGUUCCGAAUUCGAGCACAAUUUACCUGAAGAUUGCUCAGUUAAAAUAGGAGCUUGGACUAGAUUUCUGUCAAGGACUUCAAACCCGAGUUUCUAUGGCUUCUGGUGUCGGAGAAUCUAGCGUAGUCAUGUUGCGGAUUCAUUGGCUUUGUCCACCACAUUCCAGCACCAUAAACUUCAUAAUUUUGCAUAAAUUUCUUCGGGAGACUCAUUUUCACGACUGAUCAAUUUGAUGAAAAUAAUUAUACCUGUAGAAGAACAAGCAGAAACUUGAAAGAUGUCUGCCGGAGUAUAUUACAGUGGUAGAAUUUCUUCUGUUUAGCAAGUACAGAAAAUUAAAUAAUUAUGUAAAGUAGACUAAAUAAAAUUUUUAAUUAAA